CCUACGGGUGGCAGCAGUAGGGAAUUUUGCGCAAUGGGCGAAAGCCUGACGCAGCAACACCGCGUGAAUGUUAAGCCCUUCGGGGUGUAAAGUUCUGUCAAUAGGGACGAAUUUUGACUGUACCUAUAAAGGAAGCACCGGCUAACUACGUGCCAGCAGCCGCGGUAAUACGUGGGGGGCAAGCGUUGUCCGGAAUCAUUGGGCGUAAAGCGGUCGUAGGCGGGAAGGUAAGUCUGAUGUUAAAGCCCGGGGCUCAACUCGGGUUCGGCAUUGGAUACUAUCUAGCUAGAAUGUGGUAGAGGUAAAGGGAAUUCCUGGUGUAGCGGUGAAAUGCGUAGAUAUAAGGAGGAACACCGGUGGCGAAAGCGAUUUACUGGACCGUUAUUGACGCUGAGGAUCGAAAGCGAGGGGAGCAAAUGGGAUUAGAUACCCUUGUAGUC
rnacentral:rRNA from 1 species